rnacentral:tRNA from 1 species
GGGCCAGUAGCUCAGGUGGUUAGAGCCCCAGACUUAUAAACUGGAGGUCGGUAGUUCAAGUCUACCCUGGCCCACCA